rnacentral:rRNA from 1 species
UACGUGGGGUGCAAGCGUUGUUCGGAAUUACUGGGCGUAAAGCGCGUGUAGGCGGUUCGCUAAGUUCGAUGUGAAAGCCCUGGGCUUAACCCAGGAACUGCAUUGAAAACUGGCGGACUUGAGUCCGGGAGAGGGUCGCGGAAUUCCUGGUGUAGAGGUGAAAUUCGUAGAUAUUGGGAAGAACACCGGUGGCGAAGGCGGCCAUCUGGACCGUUUCUGACGCUGAGGCGCGAAAGCGUGGGGAGCAAACAGG